ACAAUGCUCAAAUUUUGUUGUUUUGCUAUUGCUUCUACGUUCAGUUUGAAAAAUUAAGGGGAAAAAAGAAGGAAGAAAUAAAAGAAAAGAAAAGGAAAAAGAGACGAGAGAGAGAUGAAAGGAAACGGUCUGUUGCGUAAAUGGCGAGGGAGAUUCUCUUCCCCAACCUCUACACAAACCUAAGUUCAAAACCUAUUUGCGAAUUUCACAGAUCUCUUAUGCUCUUCCUUAUUCAAUCCAACUUCUCAUCAAAAUUCUUCAUUCUCUCUAUCAUGUGAUUCAUUUUGAUGCCAACCAUCCAUUGAUUGCUUAUUCAUUUCCCUUUUGUUCAUGCCAUGCCACAUUUCUUUUCUUCAUCUUUCAUUCUAUCCACAAGUGUUUCUUCUACUUCUUUCUGCCUACAGCGGGUUUCUUCAAGAAAAGGCUACAGCCCAGUAUUGACGUUUAUUCGUUUGUUUUUCCCCGGGCAAUGGUAGCAGAGGUGGUUGAAUCAAGGAAGAAGGGUGGUUUUGGGUUUUUUGGAUUGUGAUGUCUUGUGGUGGAGAAGCUGGUAAGCAAUGGACUUGUGCAAAAGCCGGCGCUGCCAGUUUGCAGAAAGUGGGUUUGAUUGUGCGAGAUAUUGGCGAGCCAUGCCUUUCACAAUCGCCCAUAAAGGUUGUUAUAACUGUAAACAGAAUGCUCAAGCCAGAGAAGUGGCUGGCUGCAUUUGAUAGUGAUGGAAAGGCUCUUGGUUUUCAGAAGACACUCAAAUCAAUAGUUUUGGGGGGUGUGGAUCCGUCUAUUAGGGCAGAAGUAUGGGAAUUUUUGCUUGGUUGUUAUGCUGUAGGUAGCACUGCUGAGCACCGAGGCCAACUAAGGACUGCCAGAAGGGAACGUUACAAGUACCUGAUCGAGGAGUGUCGGAUGAUACAUUCUAGCAUAGGAACUGGUUCCCUAGCCUACCCUGUGGGUUCUAAAGUUAUGGAUAUGAGGACGUCGUCUAAAGAGGGACCAAGGGAAGCUGAGAAUGAAAGUAGAGAAGUUUCUAUUCUUAAUACUCAUACAGUAGAAGAUUCUUUUUGUAGGAAUAAUAAUUGUAUAGAUAAAUCAUACACAUGUGAAAGGGAAAACUCGAAUGAUUCAGCAGAACUUGCGAGUGUUAGAGAAAGUACAGAUAGUGCGGCAGAUGGGUCCACCUGUUGUGUCCCCAUUUCUGGUCCUUGCAAUUGUCAUUCCCUAAAACCUGGGAGUGAAGCAGAUGGAUCGGCAAUUGUUACAGAAAAUGAUUAUGAUUUUCCUCCUCUACCUGUCAUCAACUUGUUUGACAAGGACAACCGUGAUAAGAACAAAUAUUUCCUGCAUAAUGCCAAACUUUCAACUCAACGUGAAUUGAGAUUUGAAGAUGGCAGCAUGCACAGUUUUCAGAUAAAUAACAAUGAAGAUUUAGUUAUUGAAUCAACUGCCUCAUCCUCCAACAAUGUUUCUCAUCCCAUUAGCUCUGAAAUUGAAAUGAUACAUGUCGAUUCCAGCGAUCCAGAAUUUCAGAAUAAUAGCUCAUGCAAUAACGUGAAGCCAAAUGCACCAGAAACAGAAUACUUAAAUGCAACAGUCCACUGUAAUAGUGGUACUAGUGAAGAUAGAGUAUCUGAAUGGCUUUGGACUCUGCACCGAAUAGUGGUAGAUGUGGUUCGAACGGAUAGUCAUCUUGAGUUCUAUGAGGAUACGAGAAACUUAGCUAGAAUGUCGGAUAUCCUUGCAGUUUAUGCAUGGGUUGAUCCUGCGACUGGUUAUUGUCAAGGAAUGAGUGACUUGCUGUCUCCUUUUGUUGUUCUAUUUGAGGAUAAUGCUGACGCAUUUUGGUGUUUCGAGAUGCUCUUAAGAAGAAUGCGUGAGAAUUUUCAAAUGGAAGGCCCAAUUCGGGUGAUGAAACAGUUAGAAGCAUUGUGGAAAAUUUUGGAACUUACUGACAGGGAAAUCUUCACUCACCUGUCGCAUAUAGGUGCUGAGAGCCUACAUUUUGCAUUUCCAAUGCUCUUGGUACUUUUUCGUCGGGAGCUAUCAUUUAAUGAGGCACUUUGUAUGUGGGAGAUGAUGUGGGCUGCUGAUUUUGACGAAUCAAGAGCUUACAGUUUAGAGAGUAGUUGUCUGGAAGCAUUGACCUUACAACUUCCAAGAGGCUCGGAAGUGGAAAUAAGUGAAGGAGACAUGGACAAUAGUAAUAUUAACACGAAAGACACCUUACAAUCAAAUAAUGGAAAUUUGGAACGUUCAUCAUGUGACAAUGCUGGAAUGAAAUCAACAUCUGCCCACACUUUUUGUGGCUUGACAAGGAAUCUUUGUUCAAGGAAUGAUCCUACAAAGAAGUGCACUGCAAUAUCAUCAACUGAGCAAGGUGAUGACGAGCUUCCUGUUUAUUGUGUUGCAGCAAUCCUUAUAAUGAAUCGCCAAAAGAUAAUUAGAGAAACACGUUCUAUUGAUGAUCUAAUAAAGAUUUUCAAUGAUAAGAUGCUGAAGAUUAGUGUCAAAAGAUGUAUACGUACAGCAAUCAAAUUGCGGAAGAAAUAUUUCUCCAAGGUGACAUGCAGGUAAUCAAGAAAAGGAAGCCUCCAAUCUCAUUAUGAGGACUAGAGCUGCACCAUUUAUAUGAUGGAACAAAAGUACAGUAAUAGCUGUUAUGAAACAGUUGAUGAAAAAUGCGUCGGCAGUUCAAAGAUUCAAACUGAUGUUUAUGCGACUGCCUCUGCUUCAGAUUCUUUAUUGUGCAGAGAUUAUGAAAAUGGAAGAAAGAAAUAUCUUUGCUUUUGUCGUCAACGAGCAAUUGGAAUUCAUUGUACAGGCUUAAGGUUAUUGAUUUCAUUUUCGAAUCAUUUUUCCUUCAAUUAUUGUACUGCUGAUGGCAUCUUAGAAACCUAUACAUCCUGAGGGGAAGAAGUUAGUGCAUUUGAUUUUUGAUAGCUUUAGCUAGAAAAGCGAAAUAGGUGAUAAAUCGAUAGCAUGGUCAAAAUAUUAAGUUACUUAUGCACCAAGAAGUUUCAACUGCGAGUAGAAUGAGUAGAUUGUAGAUUUUUCAUCCUAUAGAGGAAUUUGUAUUGCCAAUUCUUUCUUUGUCAUUGAAGGCAACAUUUCAUCACUCUACUUUUCAUAUUUUCUUGAUGCUAAGUGGUCUUAGUUUUGUAUUGAACAAUUAAUCUAUACUACAUUCUGGUAGAUAAUGGAGAGUUCACAUGUUUGCUCUGCCAUCAAAUAGAGGAUUGAGUUUUUCUUUCCCCCUUCUAGGGAGUAGAAAUUUGCAUUAUGUCAUUUUGCUGGUAUAACAAUCCCUCACAACAGCAAUUUGAAGGGACGGAUUUUCCCAA